UACAUAGGGAGCGAGCGUUAUCCGGAUUUAUUGGGUGUAAAGGGUGCGUAGACGGGAAUACAAGUUGGUUGUGAAAUCCCUCGGCUCAACCGAGGAACUGCAACCAAAACUAUAUUUCUUGAGUGCUGGAGAGGAAAGUGGAAUUCCUAGUGUAGCGGUGAAAUGCGUAGAUAUUAGGAGGAACACCAGUGGCGAAGGCGGCCUGCUGGGCUUUUACUGACGCUGAGGCUCGAAAGUGUGGGGAGCAAACAGG
rnacentral:rRNA from 1 species